UUUUUUUAUCUUAAUAUUUUUAUAGUAAGUUUGGUGUAUUCCAUUCCAACAAUUUUUGAAGCUAAACCCAAUUAUUUUAGGUUUUUUGGAAGUGACCAAUAUAAGUUUUUUUGAGAACCUCUUUUACCCCUUAGUAUUUUUCUCAUUGGCUUCUUUCUCUCCCGCCUAUUUUCUCUUUGGUUUCCUUCUAUUUUCUCUCCAUCCAAACACUCUUUUUCUUCAUUCUUCUUCCUCUUCUUUUCCUUUCUCCAUUUCUUUCUCCUUUUUUUGCUUCUUCCUCAUCUAAGGUAGUUUCGUUGUCACAACUCCUCUAAUGCCACAAUGGGCUAGUAACAUCCACAUUAUGAUGCCUCAAUGUUGGAGUUUCUCAUCACAACUCCUCAU
rnacentral:lncRNA from 1 species